rnacentral:rRNA from 1 species
UACAGAGGUGGCAAGCGUUGUUCGGAAUUACUGGGCGUAAAGAGCUUGUAGGUGGUUUGUCGCGUUGUUCGUGAAAUCUCACGGCUCAACUGUGAGCGUGCGGGCGAUACGGGCAGACUAGAGUACUGCAGGGGAGACUGGAAUUCCUGGUGUAGCGGUGGAAUGCGCAGAUAUCAGGAGGAACACCGGUGGCGAAGGCGGGUCUCUGGGCAGUAACUGACGCUGAGAAGCGAAAGCGUGGGGAGCGAACAGG